AUUGAACGCUGGCGGCGUGCUUAACACAUGCAAGUCGUGCGGUAACAGGCGUAGCAAUACGUGCUGACGAGCGGCGAACGGGUGCGUAAUACAUGGGAAUCUGCCCUUUAGUGGGGAAUAACCCGGCGAAAGCCGGGCUAAUGCCGCAUAAGAUCUUCGGAUGAAAGCGGGGGAUCGUAAGACCUCGCGCUGAUGGAUGAGCCCAUGUCGGAUUAGCAGUUGGUGAGGUAACGGCUCACCAAGGCGACGAUCCGUAGCUGGUCUGAGAGGACGGCCAGCCACACUGGGACUGAGACACGGCCCAGACUCCUACGGGAGGCAGCAGUGGGGAAUAUUGGACAAUGGGCGCAAGCCUGAUCCAGCGAUGCCGCGUGUGUGAAGAAGGCCUGCGGGUUGUAAAGCACUUUCAGUAGGGAAGAAAGCCGAGUGCUAAUAUCACUCGGUCUUGACGUUACUUACAGAAGAAGCACCGGCUAACUCC
rnacentral:rRNA from 1 species